UAUCUUGUAGCUCAGCUGGUUAGAGCAAGUGACUGUUAAUCACUAGGUCGAUGGUUCGAAUCCAUCCAAGGUAG
rnacentral:tRNA from 1 species